CCUACGGGUGGCAGCAGUGAGGAAUAUUGGUCAAUGGCCGGAAGGCUGAACCAGCCAUGCCGCGUGAAGGGCAGGGGCCUAGGGGCGGGAAACGUCGUGUGUGCGGGAGCAAGAAUGGUCACGUGUGGCCAGACGAGAGUACCGUACGAAUAAGCAUCGGCUAACUCCGUGCCAGCAGCCGCGGUAAUACGGGGGAUGCAAGCGUUAUCCGGAUUUACUGGGUCUAAAGGGGGCGCAGACGGCGAUGCAAGCCAGGAGUGAAAGCCCGGGGCCCAACCCCGGGACUGCUCUUGGAACUGCGUGGCUGGAGUGCAGGAGGGGCAGGCGGAAUUCCUGGUGUAUCGGUGAAAUGCGUAGAUAUCAGGAGGAACACCGGUGGCGAAGGCGGCCUGCUGGACUGCAACUGACGUUGAGGCCCGAAAGCGUGGGGAGCAAACAGGAUUAGAUACCCCGGUAGUC
rnacentral:rRNA from 1 species